rnacentral:miRNA from 1 species
CACUCUAAGGUUCCCAGAUCUCUCUGGGGCCUCCAAAUGUUGUCGAGUGGAAUGAACGACUAUCAACGCCAAUUAAGGUUAAAGGGAGUCUUUAUUAG